UGAGCAGAUCAGGCGGUCGCAGGUACGGCAACGUACAUGAGGAAAGUCCGAGCUUCACAGGGCAGGGUGCCGGCGAAAUACCGGUGGAGGCGACUCUAAGGAAAGUGCAACAGAGAUAGACUGCCGAGCGAUCGGCGAUGAUGGAAAGGCGAGGUAAGAGCUCACCGCGACCUGCGGUAACGCAGGCGGCUAUGUAAACCCCAUCCGAAGCAAGGUAUAUAGGACAUUGUGUGGCUGCCCGCUGCGUCCUGAACACCGCUUGAGCGUAACGGAGACGUUACGCCUAGAUAGAUGACCGUCCAACGACAGAACUCGGCUUACUGAUCUGACUCAAUAA
rnacentral:RNase_P_RNA from 1 species